UGACGGGGUAUCUUGAAAAGUUUUUGGGUUUUGGAGUGAACUAAACAAGGCCCAGUAUAGCUGUAGCUGCACACUGCAGGCUUCUGUUACUGUUACUUCAUCUGCCAAUAACAAAAGGAAAAAAACAUUCUGACCAUAACUUAAAUAGUUUGGUGAUUCUAGUAAAAUUGCUUCUACGACAGUGAAGGGAAAUGGGAACCCCUCACCGCAGGUGGACAGAGUGAUCAAGGGCGGCGCCGGUGUGUGCUUACUGUGUUCGAUUGAGCUCUAGCUCGCUGGGAUU
rnacentral:lncRNA from 1 species